CCUACGGGUGGCAGCAGUCGGGAAUAUUGCGCAAUGGAGGAAACUCUGACGCAGUGACGCCGCGUAUAGGAAGAAGGUUUUCGGAUUGUAAACUUUUGUCGUUAGUGAAGAGUAAUGACAGUACCUAAGGAGGAAGCUCCGGCUAACUACGUGCCAGCAGCCGCGGUAAUACGUAGGGAGCGAGCGUUAUCCGGAAUUAUUGGGUGUAAAGGGUGCGUAGACGGGAAGGCAAGUUAGCUGUGAAAUCCCUGGGCUUAACUGAGGGACUGCAAUUAAAACUACUUUUCUUGAGUGCAGGAGAGGUAAGUGGAAUUCCUAGUGUAGCGGUGAAAUGCGUAGAUAUUAGGAGGAACACCAGUGGCGAAGGCGACUUACUGGACUGUAACUGACGUUGAGGCACGAAAGUGUGGGGAGCAAACAGGAUUAGAUACCCCAGUAGUC
rnacentral:rRNA from 1 species